AAAAAGGGUACUCACUUUACUUUAAUUUCAUAGUGCAUUGUUGGUGAUGCCUUUGCGUGUUGUCAGCAGUGAGGUAUGGUUAUCAAGACAUACCUAGUACACAAUUUUUGUAACCAGAGGCUGUUAAAUUUUGAAGACGCCUCU
rnacentral:snRNA from 1 species